rnacentral:rRNA from 1 species
UACGAAGGGGGCUAGCGUUACUCGGAUUGACUGGGCGUAAAGGGCGCGUAGGCGGUUGGUACAGUCAGACGUGAAAUUCCUGGGCUCAACCUGGGGGCUGCGUUUGAUACGUGCUGUCUGGAGUUCGGAAGAGGGGCGUGGAAUUCCCAGUGUAGAGGUGAAAUGCGUAGAUAUUGGGAAGAACACCGGUGGCGAAGGCGGCGCCCUGGUCCGAUACUGACGCUGAGGCGCGAAAGCGUGGGGAGCAAACAGG